rnacentral:rRNA from 1 species
UACGAAGGGGGCGAGCGUUAUUCGGAAUCACUGGGCGUAAAGCGUGCGUAGGCUGUUUGGCAAGUUGGGAGUGAAAUCCCGGGGCUCAACCCCGGAAUUGCUUUCAAAACUGCCAGACUCGAAUUCGGGAGAGGAUAGCGGAAUUUCCAGUGUAGUAGUGAAAUACGUAGAUAUUGGAAGGAACACCAGUGGCGUAAGCGGCUAUCUGGCCCGACAUUGACGCUGAGGCACGAAGGCGUGGGGAUCAAACAGG